CUUAACAGUGGUGAGGAUAACAUUAAUAUUCUUAUUUUGAGUGUUUAUGACAAUUGUUAUCAUGAUUACUAUUAUUUGUAUGUUUGGCUAAAACAUCUGUACUUAGCAAAACUUAAUACAUUAACAUGGACUCUGAAAACAUUUAUUUAAGGAAAUUGUUUGUCUACAAAUUAAUAAGUACAAUCAUUUCAUCUUCUAUAUUUUUUUCAUAAAUGACUGUGUUGGUGCUUAGCACAUCCUGUGUAAUAGUUUUAUACACACACAAACACACAUAUAUACGGUCACGAUUGUACAUGUAUAAUCGUGUGUGUGUGUUUUUAUACUUUUGUUGUUAACAGAGGACCUAAAAGACUUGUGUCACUUCUGUGGAGAGAUGGAAAGUGACACGGAUGUGAACUGGAUCCAGUGUGACGUGUGUCUGAGGUGGUUCCAUCAUGCAUGUGUGGGAAGCCCACCAACUG